rfam:Lactobacillus salivarius TCC118, complete genome.
GCCUUGCAUCCACAUGAUUUGAGAUGGUCACACGUUUUGAGGGCGUGGCAAGGCUU